rnacentral:lncRNA from 1 species
GGAGUUGCCAGUUUAUUCACAUCUAGGAGGCCAUGCUGAGGAUACUGUUAGUCCCCUUCAAUCUUUCAGGUCCUGAGCAGGUUUAACUGUUAGCAUCACAAUCCCCUGUUGCCCUAAGGACUCCAUUCUGGGCCUAGAGACUCUUAGGGGACUCUAGCUGGCUUUCUGUGGGUAAAUCAGACAGAUCAAGAGGUAGGUGGGAACAGACUGUUGAUCUCCUCUCCUGGGUUUCUCUGUGCUCAGCAAAUGCCCUCAGGCCAGCCUUGACACAGUAGACAGCUCUCCUGGUUUCCGGAGUCCUCUGAUUGCUGACAAGGGUCUUCACUACCCAUUCUAUUCCGGGAAAUGCCUCAGGACUUUUCAACCACCUGAAAAUGGAGAAGUAAGAGAUCAGUAUUUUGAAGAGGAAGUUUUAAAGACAUACAAAAUAAAAGAUAGAGAUCCUGCAUGCAGUUUACACAUUACAGGAGAGAAACAUGCAACUUUAAAGAAAUUUUAAGUAACAUUUCAUUGUGAAUAUCAAUACGGGGACCUAAUAGGGGAUAAUCCUUGUACAUUUUAAAAUAGCUGAGCAGAAAGCUUUACUUUGGGGAGCAGCAGAUCUAAACUACAGUCAUUGAAAUUUUACAAUGUGUCAUUUAAGAUGUCAGACUUUGUGCCCAGGUUACAUUACAGUUCACUUGUGAUGGGCAGGAUUAUUAAGAGUUAUGGCUAAUUUAUGCGGCAGCAUAUGGUUCUUCUUUUUACAGCUAUUUUUAUUAAACAAGUUUUGCAAAGUUUUAACAUUAAAAUUAACAGCUAAAGAAUUGUUUAUGCAAGUUGCUGUCACAGUUUAUGUAAAAGAGAAAUAUGUGCUAUUAAAAUCAGACAUUUAGGUUACCUUUGGUUUUUUGCGAUGCAUGUUAGCUUUACACAUCCUGAUUCUCUUGCGAUAAUUUUCCUUUAAAAAGGGGGGUAUAGAGUGAUCUCUUUUCAUCAAAACAAGACAUAAUGCCCUGAAAGCUGACUUCAAACCACGGUUGAAAAUUCAGUUAUUUACACUUU